UACGUAGGGUGCGAGCGUUGUCCGGAAUUAUUGGGCGUAAAGAGCUUGUAGGCGGUUUGUCGCGUCUGCCGUGAAAUUUCGAGGCUCAACCUCGAACUUGCGGUGGGUACGGGCAGACUAGAGGUAUGCAGGGGAGAACGAAUUCCUGGUGUAGCGGUGAAAUGCGCAGAUAUCAGGAGGAACACCGGUGGCGAAGGCGGUUCUCUGGGCAUUACCUGACGCUGGAGGAGCGAAAGUGUGGGGAGCGAACAGG
rnacentral:rRNA from 1 species